rnacentral:rRNA from 1 species
CGCUGGCGGCGUGCUUAACACAUGCAAGUCGAACGAAGAGCGAUGGAAGCUUGCUUCUAUCAAUCUUAGUGGCGAACGGGUGAGUAACGCGUAAUCAACCUACCCUUCAGAGGGGGACAACAGUUGGAAACGACUGCUAAUACCGCAUACAAUCCAAUCUCGGCAUCGAGACUGGAUGAAAGGUGGCCUCUAUUUAUAAGCUAUCACUGAAGGAGGGGAUUGCGUCUGAUUAGCUAGUUGGAGGGGUAACGGCCCACCAAGGCGAUGAUCAGUAGCCGGUCUGAGAGGAUGAACGGCCACAUUGGGACUGAGACACGGCCCAGACUCCUACGGGAGGCAGCAGUGGGGAAUCUUCCGCAAUGGACGAAAGUCUGACGGAGCAACGCCGCGUGAGUGAUGACGGCCUUCGGGUUGUAAAGCUCUGUUAAUCGGGACGAAUGGUUCUUGUGCAAAUAGUGCGAGGAUUUGACGGUACCGGAAUAGAAAGCCACGGCUAACUACGUGCCAGCAGCCGCGGUAAUACGUAGGUGGCAAGCGUUGUCCGGAAUUAUUGGGCGUAAAGCGCGCGCAGGCGGAUUGGUCAGUCUGUCUUAAAAGUUCGGGGCUUAACCCCGUGAUGGGAUGGAAACUGCCAAUCUAGAGUAUCGGAGAGGAAAGUGGAAUUCCUAGUGUAGCGGUGAAAUGCGUAGAUAUUAGGAAGAACACCAGUGGCGAAGGCGACUUUCUGGACGAAAACUGACGCUGAGGCGCGAA